rnacentral:misc_RNA from 1 species
AACCUAGCACACCUGCGGUGUGUACCUGCGGAGGGAUCAUUAAUAAAUGUUACUUCGGUAACUUAAUUAAUCCCUAACACCUGUGCAUCUUGUCGCUUCGGCGUCAUUUUAUAAACAUCAGUGUAAUGAAUGUAAAGUAUUAUAACAAAUACAACUUUCAACAAUGGAUCU